AAUCUUCGAUACCGCUUUGUACUUACAAUCUUGUAUCCACUGACUGUCUUAUUAGAUUAACCCAAUAAAUUUCAUUCACUCCGCAUACUCAAUCCUAUAGACACCCUUUUAAUUUUUCAAUCUCAGACGUAACUCGAUUUCACAAAACAGUCAAUAGUAAUCAAACUCACUUCAUUAAAAAUCCCGAUUCACCAUUACAACACUGACUUCAGCAACGAUUGCCUCAGUCUUUCCAAAACCCUAUGAAGAAAAAAAAACCCAAUUCUCUGUCUUCUUUC
rnacentral:lncRNA from 1 species